UACGUAGGGGGCUAGCGUUGUCCGGAAUCAUUGGGCGUAAAGCGCGCGUAGGCGGCCCGGUAAGUCCGCUGUGAAAGUCCAGGGCUCAACCCUGGGAUGCCGGUGGAUACUGUCGGGCUCGAGUCCGGAAGAGGCGAGUGGAAUUCCUGGUGUAGCGGUGAAAUGCGCAGAUAUCAGGAGGAACACCAAUGGCGAAGGCAGCUCGCUGGGACGUGACUGACGCUGAGACGCGAAGCGUGGGA
rnacentral:rRNA from 1 species